rnacentral:rRNA from 1 species
AUGUGAUCGUCUCUCGCAUAUCAAUAAGCGGAGGAAAAGAAACUAACAAGGAUUCCCCUAGUAACGGCGAGUGAAGCGGGAAGAGCUCAAAUUUGAAAUCUUAAAGGGUUUCCCUUUACGAAUUGUAGUUUAAAGAAGUGUUUUCUGUUGAGGUUUUGGUAAAAGUUCUUUGGAAUAGGACAUCAUAGAGGGUGAGAAUCCCGUAUUUGACCUUUACUUUCAACUUUGUGAUACACUUUCAAAGAGUCGGAUUGUUUGGGAAUGCAGUCCAGAUGGGUGGUAAAUUUCAUCUAAAGCUAAAUAUUGGCGAGAGACCGAUAGCGAACAAGUACCGUGAGGGAAAGAUGAAAAGAACUUUGAAAAGAGAGUUAAACAGUACGUGAAAUUGUCAAAAGGGAAGCGUUUGACACCAGUGUUGUUUUUCUGAAAAUCAAUUAAAGAACUGUUUAUGCUAAGUUGUUUAGACUUUAUCAGCUAAUCUGUUUAGUUUUGAGCUUUUCUUUAAUGCACUUUUCAGUUAACGAGUCAACAUCAAUUUCUUUUGCUGUAAAAAAGCUUGAGGAAGGUGGCUUGAGAUUCGUCUUAAGUGUUUAUAGCCUCUUGCCUAUGCAGUCGGAGAGAUUGAGGUCUGCAGCGUAGAUCCUUCGGGGCUAAAUGCAUUUGUGCUAAGUUAUAGCAUUUUAUAGACAACUUGUUGACUAUGAUUUGUCUUGUAGCUUACUCGCUUAUGUUAUUUUACCUACGCUUAGGAUGUUGACACACGCGCGUGCUCGACUCUAUACAUGACUCUGCGCAUAUCAAUAAGCGGAGGAAAAGUCAAUACCUACGCUUAGGAUGUUGAUAUGCAUGACUGAUAU